rnacentral:rRNA from 1 species
UACGUAGGGGGCAAGCGUUGUUCGGAAUUACUGGGCGUAAAGGGCGCGUAGGCGGCACGGCAAGUCGGGAGUGGAAGCCCGGGGCUCAACCCCGGAGGGUCUUCCGAAACUGCCGAGCUAGAGUGCGGAAGAGGCAACCGGAAUUCCCAGUGUAGCGGUGAAAUGCGUAGAUAUUGGGAAGAACACCGGAGGCGAAGGCGGGUUGCUGGGCCGACACUGACGCUGAGGCGCGAAAGCCAGGGGAGCAAACGGG